rnacentral:lncRNA from 1 species
UUCAAUUGACAUUCCUUAAAUUGUCUCACGCUUUCAUUUUGCUAAUAUAUUUUCUGUAACAAAAAAAAAGUUCAUCUAUUUGCACUUAUUCUCUAAAACUUUCUGCAGCAUCAUGCGGAUAAUUCUAGUGACCACAAUCUCACAUCUAUUACCUCACAAAACUAAUGAGGUAUGUAACUUCUCUCCCUAGUAUGAAAACAACACCUGCUAGGCUCAUUAGUUUGUAACUUCUCUCCCUUUAUCUAGGCUCAUACGAACGAAAACAAUAUAGGGCGUCGAAUAUCGAUUUCAGUAUAAUAAUGAUAUUAUUUUCCUACAAAUAUCUGCUCAAGAUUAGAUGGUAAAACCUUUUGACUUAUGUGGAGCCAAUCCUAAUGAGCCUUGAUUUAGGGUCUCACAAAUAAGUCGAGUAAUUUUGAUGUGCUUUGAUGAAAUGUCAAAGUAACAACACCACUCAGCAAUACAUGAAUCGUUCAACUUUUGCUAUAACGAUAGCUGAAAUCCAGAGUGUUUGAUAACACAAUUUCAUAACAAAUUAUUGAAAUAUGAUGACUGAUCUCUCAUAUUUCUUUAAAUUCAUAAGAGUAGUACAAUGUGUGAAUUGAGCACACUCAUGCAUCAAAACACGACAACACAUCAUAAUCAAGCAUAACUUUUAUCCCAUAGUGUAUAGUCUCAGCUUCAAUACCUUUAUAAAAAAUAGUGGGGAUAUCAAUGGACCGUUAUGCUUUUUCAUUUCUUGACACUAAUAAAUAUGUUGAUGUGACUUGUAUGCUAGUCAAUUACCGGUUAUGGAAGGAAGUCUAUACCAAAAUUUUCGAUGCGUAGAAACUUGUUUUGCGAGCAAUCGAUUGAACUCGUGUACAAGUUACGGAAGCAUAUGACAACCCCUUGUACAAGAGAGAGCACGGGUGAAUAAGAUUAUGCAUACAAUGUCCAAUUUUUGGCCGCUUGAAGUAGGAAAGACAAUGAGCUGCUACAAAGCUCAUCAUAAUAAAACGUUAGUUUGUCAUCCAAUUAUAUGCGACUGGCAAGGCUUAUAACCCCGUUCAAAGUUAAAAUCCUCGAGACAAACAUAUUCUUUUGUUUUUCACCCUACGCUAGGUAGGCAACCGGAAAAUUCGACACAGUUUAGAUCGCAGCAGAAAAAUUCGCUCUCCAACAACACCAGGAUCUACAUUCCUGUCCGGCCAGGAAAAUGCUUAAAAUCAUAUCCAACUUUCCAAUAGUCAAACCAAGCAAUAUAUUCAUCAACUCGUGUCCAUGAAAGGAUUAAGCACGGUUCAUAUUAUUCAAUAUUCAAGUGUGCCAUUUGAAUGACGGGUUCGGAAAAUUUUGAACACAUCUAUCAGUUAGGUUCUAAACUAGUAAACAACUAACAAUACAACGGAUAUGUACUCGUCAUCCUUGUUCUCGUAUCUUUCUACUUUUAACUUGACUCUACCAGGAAAUAAUGAACUGAUUGCCUGCCAGGCCAGCUAAUGAUCUUCUUAUGGCCUCUACAACAUGGCCGCAACCAAUCCAGAUUAUAAUAUCGACACUUUAAGAGCACCGGACGCAAGCAAGCAAAAGUGUUGAUGAUUACCUUCAUAUUCAGAGGUGCAGUUCAACACGUGGCAAGUCAUCAACUAAAAGACUCUUCAUGAAAUCCUCAGGUCAGUGAGAAGAGCUGCUACCCCUUGUUGAUCUUCAAGGAACACCAAGAUCCAAGGCUCCACUA